UACGAAGGGGGCUAGCGUUGCUCGGAAUCAUUGGGCGUAAAGCGCACGUAGGCGGUCUGUUAUGUCGGAUGUGAAAGCCCUUGGCUCAACUGAGGAAGUGCAUCCGAAACUGGCAGGCUAGAGUACGAAAGAGGAGUCGCGGAAUUCCCGGUGUAGAGGUGAAAAUUCGUAGAUAUCGGGAGGAACACCGGUGGCGAAGGCGGCGAUCUGGGUCGAUACUGACGCUGAGGUGCG
rnacentral:rRNA from 1 species